rnacentral:sRNA from 1 species
CGGGGCGAGGACGGCGGCGCGGCGAGGACGGCGGCGGACCGGGGCAGCCCCGCGCUCUGGCCAGGAAUAAUUGGUGGGGAUGGAUUGUGAAAUGGAGCUGCAUAAAUAUCCAGUUUGCCAACUGAGCUAAGAAAUGCUGGAUAAAAGUAAAAGCUCUACUGAAAUGAAGAAAGAAAAACAAUACAUGCCCAGCUCCAGAGACACGUAAAGGGACAGAGAUUGGGGGACAGAAGGAAGUGCAUUAAUUCCUUCCACGACCCCUGAAGAGCAGCAGUGGGUCUGAGCAUCCUAUCUCCAGGAAGCGGGCCAGCAGGCAAGCCAGCUGCCACCUCGUCCUGUGCAAAGCACAGGCACCGUCCCCAAAAGAUUUCCAAAGAUGAUGUUAAUAAACCCAGCCACAGUUCUGAUCUCCAGGAAAGCAAUUGCUGUGGGACAAAAGGACAAGGGUUAAAAGAGAACAGUGGGAGCUCUCUUUCCCAACUAACUCAUGCAGUGUGACGCAGAGGCUUUCAGCACAGCCCAGGGUGCCCGGGACUGAAAACCCCUUCACCAGCCCCCUCCACAGGAUAUAGAAGACUUAGAUCACUACGAGAUGAAAGCAGAGCCCAUUAGUGGGAAAAAGUUGGAGGAUGAAGGAAUUGCAAAAGAAAA